rnacentral:rRNA from 1 species
GACGAACGCUGGCGGCACGCCUAACACAUGCAAGUCGAGCGGUUCGGAGAUUGGAACUGAGGGAUUAAGGAAUUAAUCUCUGAGCUCCAAUUUCCGGAUAGCGGCGGACGGGUGAGUAACACGUGAGGAACCUGCCUUUCAGAGGGGGAUAACGUUUGGAAACGAACGCUAAUACCGCAUGAAGUAUAUUUACGGCAUCGUAGAUAUACCAAAGGAGCAAUCCGCUGAAAGAUGGCCUCGCGGCUGAUUAGCUAGUUGGCGGGGUAACGGCCCACCAAGGCGACGAUCAGGAGCCGGACUGAGAGGUUGAACGGCCACAUUGGGACUGAGACACGGCCCAGACUCCUACGGGAGGCAGCAGUGGGGGAUAUUGCACAAUGGGCGAAAGCCUGAUGCAGCGAUGCCGCGUGGAGGAAGAAGGUCUUCGGAUUGUAAACUCCUGUCUUUAGGGACGAUAAUGACGGUACCUAAGGAGGAAGCUCCGGCUAACUACGUG